CAAUGCGGAACACCAACAAAUAUGCAAAAAUGCAUGUAUUUCCUGCAGAAAAUGACGUAAUAUGUAAAAUGAUUAGUAAAAUAACUGGAGCCCGGGCUGAGCACUGAUGCUUAAUAACUGAGGCAUUUAACAGUAUCAAUGCUAGGAAUUUUAAGGUUAUAAAUACAAGACACCCGUCUUACUAAAUCCCUUUCUGGAAGCUUUCUUGGACUCUACACUAGUAGAGACACAAGGAAUGUUUGAAUCGUCUCAUAAUGCAUGCGUGAAUGAUAUGGACAGGCAAACAGUAGAGCAACAAGGAAUGCUGAAGCCAAAAGAAAGGCAAAACUGAAGAAGGAAAACCGUUCCUGAAAGAUUUGUUAUUUAAAAUUUUUUAUACUACAAUUUAUGUUCGUAGCAAAUGAUUCUAGAUUUAUUUUUUUUUAGCAGAGGUUCUUAACUCAAGAUAUAAGCCGUGCAGAGACCAGUUAUGAAAAUAACAAAAUUUAUACAAUAUAACAAAUGUGUUGAGAAAAGAAAUCAGAAGGAUAAAUAUACAAAAAAAACAUUGAGGCAGAAGUUACAAGAAAGUCUCAAAUGUGCUGAAAAUUUUGCUUAUCUCCCAGCAACAUUAAAUAAGAGUGCUCCUAAUUUUAUAUUAAGUCAACUAAGAGAACAUACGAAAAAGCCAAAAGGUUGAAAAUUUACACUUAAUGAUAAAAUUCUUGCUUUAACUCUGCAUAAAAUU